CCUGGUGGCUCAGAGGUUAAAGCAUCUGCCCGCAAUGCGGGAGGCCCAGGUUCGAUCCCUGGGUCAGGA
rnacentral:tRNA from 1 species